rnacentral:rRNA from 1 species
NNNNNNNNNAGGAUUCUCCUAGUAACCGUGAGUGAAGCGGGAAGAGUCAMAUUUAAAAUCUGGCGGCCUUCGGUCGUCCGAGUUGUAUCCUACAGAAGCGUCUUCCGCGGCGGACCAUGUACAAGUYYCCUGGAACAGGGCGUCAUACAGGGUGAGAAUCCCGUCUUUGACACGGAUCCAAGCUUUGGGAUGCGCUCUCAAAGAGUCGAGUUGUUUGGGAAUGCAGCUCAAAAUGGGUGGUGAAUUCCAUCUAAAGCUAAAUAUUGGCGAGAGACCGAUAGCGAACAAGUACCGUGAGGGAAAGAUGAAAAGCACUUUGGAAAGAGAGUAAAACAGUACGUGAAUUGUUGAAAGGGAAACGCUUGAAGUCAGUCGCGUCGGCCGGGACUCAGCCUGGCAUCCGCUUGGUGUACUUUCCGGUGGACGGGCCAGCAUCAGUUUUGACCGCGAGAUAAAGGCGGAGGGAAUGUGGCUCUCUCGGGAGUGUUAUAGCCCUUUGUCAGAUGUCGCGGUUGGGACUGAGGAACUCAGCACGCCUUUAUGGCCGGGGUUUGCCCACGUACGUGCUUAGGAUGCUGGCGUAAUGGCUUUAAACGACCCGUCUUGAAACACGGACCAAGGAGUCUAACAUGCCUGCGAGUGUUUGGGUGGAAAACCCGUGCGCGCAAUGAAAGUGAAAGUUGGGAUCCCUGUCGUGGGGWGCACCGACGCCCGGCCCAGACCUUUUGUGACGGAGCUGCGGUAGAGCAUGUAUGUUGGGACCCGAAAGAUGGUGAACUAUGCCUGAAUAGGGUGAAGCCAGAGGAAACUCUGGUGGAGGCUCGUAGCGAUUCUGACGUGCAAAUCGAUCGUCAAAUUUGGGUAUAGGCGCGAAAGACUAAUCGAACCAUGCAGUAGCUGGUUCCUGN